rnacentral:rRNA from 1 species
CAAAUUACCCAAUGAAAACAGCUUCGAGGUAGUGACGAGAAAUAACAAUACAGGGCAUUUUUUGUUCUGUAAUUGGAAUGAUGGGAAUGUAAAACCCUUUCAGAUUAACAAUUGGAGGGCAAGUCUGGUGCCAGCAGCCGCGGUAAUUCCAGCUCCAAUAGUGUAUAUUAGAGUUGUUGCAGUUAAAAAGCUCGUAGUUGGRWUUCUGUCGUGGUCAUCCGGUUCCGCCUGUAUGGGUGUGCGCCUGGUUUGCCCUCGGCUUUCUUCCGUUAGCCUUCGGCGCUUCACUGCGUCUGUUGGUGUUUCGGAACUUUUACUUUGAGAAAAAUAGAGUGUUUCAAGCAGGCUUGUCGCCCUGAAUACUUCAGCAUGGAAUAAUAAGAUAGGACCUUGGUUCUAUUUUGUUGGUUUCUAGGACUAAGGUAAUGAUUAAUAGGGACAGUUGGGGGCAUUCGUAUUUAACUGUCAGAGGUGAAAUUCUUAGAUUUGUUAAAGACGAACUACUGCGAAAGCAUUUGCCAAGGAUGUUUUCAUUAAUCAAGAACGACAGUAGGGGGUUUGAAGACGAUUAGAUACCGUCGUAAUCUCUACCAUAAACUAUGCCGACUAGAGAUAGGGAAAUGCCUACCUUGGCUUCUCCUGCACCUCAUGAGAAAUCAAAGUCUCUGGGUUCUGGGGGGAGUAUGGUCGCAAGGCUGAAACUUAAAGGAAUUGACGGAAGGGCACCACCAGGCGUGGAGCCUGCGGCUUAAUUUGACUCAACACGGGGAAACUCACCAGGUCCAGACAUGGGAAGGAUUGACAGAU